AGCAUAUAUGUUAAUUGGCCAAGAAAUAUGUUACAUUUAAUCUUAUAGUAUGAUAUUGUGUUUGAAUGUUUUUCCUUUACUUUUUUCUUACUUCUUCCUUUUGUCCCUCUCUUGCAGGACAGUUUAAUGACGUCCAGAGUGCUGUUUUCAAGUCCAGUCCAGAUUGUGACCUGGUCGAAUGUUCUGCAUCCUAAAUGUCAUUUGUAGGAUAUUUGAAGGAUAGUUCAUUUGUUCACAAGCAGCUGUGAAUAUAGGAUAUAUGUAGAAAAAUGAAUUAUGCAAUUCAUAUUUAAGUGCUAUGUCAUGAAAGUCUUUUGAAAUCAGAGUUUUAAAAAGUAGUAUGUGAGAGAAAGGGUUUCUGUGAAUAUUAUAUGGCGAUCAUAACAUCUGAACAGUUUUAUUUUUCAAGGUUGGGGCAAGUUGUCACAGUGACUAAAGAGCUUGAUUUGUAAACUGAUUCAGUAGAUUCUUUGAAAAGAAAAGCGUGCGUGUGUCAAUCUCUUCUGUCAAAGAAAGCUCUCAGCUCAGAACUUUGGAUAGCCUUAUGUUCUGCUAAGGUUAUGAAAAAAAAUCUUAAAAAUAAAGUUCUGUAACUAAAAAAUUAUUAUUCAUUGUUCAUAAAAAGUUUUUUUCUUAAAACACUAUUAUUUACUGCAUGUUUCAGAACGUUCAGAGAACAUUCAAAAGUAACAUUUCCAUGUUUGAAAAAUGAUCAAAUGCACUGUUAAAUGUUUCUCUGACGUUUUCCAUACCCUAGAUGACAUUUUUUCAAAAUGUUUGAAAACUGACAUUUUGAACUCUCAGUCAACAUUCAGAAAUAAUCUUUUCAUAACUUAAUGGGAACAUUAGCAAAACAUCCUUGAAACAUGUUUUUGUUACCUGGGCUUAAGCACACUGGCAGAGCCAUUUUAUAGAAUUCAUAAAUUGCAAUGUUAGCCAAAACAAUAGUUUUAACUUUAAUAUCUAGCCAGUAUUCCAGAAAUGCUCCAUUUUUUUCUGAGCAUCGGGCACAAAUACCAUCCCUUCACAAAAAGAUAGACAGGAUUUCAUGAGGACAUGUGACCAGUGAUAUAAGCACCCAAAGCUUUAUAAGUCUGCACGUGUCUGAAGAGCGGAGACAGAUCCGUCUUGUGUGCCUGUGUGUGUGUCUGUGUGCGUGUGUGGUUUUUUGGUUUUCUAGCCAGUCUGAUCUGCUCCAAGAAACACUGCUGAGAUGUUCUUCCGCAUUCCUCUCCUGACACCAGGAUACAUUCGAUACCUGCAGACUCAGACAGCGCGGACCAGUAUGCAGAGGGAGGGGCCUGCUGUACCCCGUCUUGCCAUGCUGCUAGGCCUUGUGGGUAUAGGGAUGUCAGGAUACAGCUCUCGCCAGCUGACCUUAUAUCACAAGCCAUCAUCACAUCUCCUGCGGUGAAACAAAAAGCAGCAAACAGAGAGAAAACCCAUAGCUUUUGUAUAAAGGUGAGUUGAACAAGCUCGGAGAUCAUGCAUCCAUUUGUUAGUUUUACCACAUCAUGCUGAAGCUCAUAGUCUUGCUUUGGUUGCGAGGAUGGCCGAUCCUCAACCCCAAACUUGUUCUCUGGUAACAAGGGAGUGAAUUAAAUGCUUUGACUUUUUUAUUUAGUUUAAAAAAAUGCAUUGAGAAUGCAUAACAGGCAUAAGUGUCCUUCUGAAUCAUAAAAUGACAAGUGGGAUAUGUUAUGGUCUUGUGGACCUCAAGGAUGCUUCAAAGUCUACUUCAAUUAAACACUGAGUACAGGUGUCCACUUAGAACUGGAUUAUAUUUUUGAUAUAAUAUGUAAUUAAAUUUUAAAUUCCCAAAAAUAAUUCUACUCUUCGUAUACCUGAAGAUCCUAAAGAAGACCAACAGAUUCUCCAAAGUCAAUGCAAACCAGCCAACAACAAAUCCAGCAGCCAAUAAGACUAGCACAGCUGUCACAGCGCAAACAUCACGAUGAAGUAUGACUCCAGUUUUUAUUGAUUUUCUUAAAGAAAUUUUAAGAGACAUAUUGCUCUAAUGAAUAGAGCCAUUUAAGCAGGUCACCUUCAUAGCUAUGAGUCACAGUCACUAUUUACAGGACACGGAUUCAUCUUUAAUAUACAUUUAGCAUUUAAUAUCCCAUUUGUCUAUAUAUAUAUAUUUGCUUUUAUGUAUUUAAAAUAUUUAGAUUUUAUUUUAUUUUCUCACAUAAUUAAUUAGAUAUUGUCAUAUUUGUGAUUUUGUUUGUAUAAAGUGUUUUUGAGUUUGAAUGUACAUAUAAUGUAAAUAAGUUUAUUUAAUGCAUAUAUUUUUAUUUGAUGUGUAUUUAUGUUUCGUAAAUAACAAAGUGUGUAUUUUGAAAUUCUUUAGCUUUGAGAGUAGGGCAGUGUUUUUUGAUGGGCCUCCAUUUUACCAUUCACAAGCAUGUACAGAAAUCCUCGUCUGGAUUUCCUCUUCCAAUUUGGGCUUGGUACUCUGGUUUGCCAACCUCGGUGUCACCCAGACUAAGCAGACUUAAAUCUGUAACCCCCCAAAAAGCCCAUGAAGGACACUGACCUAUCCGAAACUCUCUCCUAACUAGACAACUGAUCAAUACGAUCUCAUAAAAGUGUUUAUUUAUUAAAUAUUGUGUGUUUUGGCAUUGACGUAUGUAAUAAAUGUCUCACCGACAGCUAAAUGUCAUUGGUUUUGUGAAUGGGAUGGGAUCGAUGUGAACUUGAGCGCUGAGUCAUGUAAUGAUGUCAUGACAUCUCAGAGCAGACACUCAAGAAGAAGAAGAAGAAGAGCUUAUGUUCUUAUAACGGUCUAAUCUGCUCAUCCAAUUACAGUUGGCUGCUAACAUAAGGUCAAAGACCUUUAUUUGGAGAACAGAUGGCCAACUUGAAUUGGGGAAAAUGUGGUGUUUUCAUCUUCUGUGGACGCUAUGACUGAUUUGCAGUGAUUUUUGUUUUAUUGUUCUUAUUGUUGACAUUAUUGAGUAUAAUGAUUGUUGCCAUUGUGACCAUUUUAGCACUUUAUGGGAGGAUUGAUUGUAUUUUCACAGCUCUUUUUUAAUGAAGAGAGUAUAUGUCUUGUCUUGUAAAUUAUUUUAAUUGUGUAUUUAUUUACUAAAUCAAAUAUUCCAGCAUGUAAAGAGACUUAAUUGCUUACAUGGUCGUCUACAUACCUAUUGAAAGUCUACAUACCUAUUAACACAGUAUACAUUUCUAUUGAUUAAAAAUUAGAACUUUAAUUUCAGAGCUAAAAAAAAAACUUUUAGGAUUUUUUGAAUUGUUAAUAUUAUUUUAAGUGUAAAGCAAACAUAUUCAUACUUAAUUUAAAAAAUAUAGCAUGCACAAAAUUUUAACUGAUCAGCCAAAUAUUGUUUUAAAGUAAUGCAGUAGGGGGCAGCACUACACUAAAACCUCUAAAAAAAAGUAGCAAUAACUUGAACUUUAAAAGUAAGCAGGAAACAUUAGUCCACUAAAAUCUGUUUACAGUCUACAAAACUGUUUAUGUUUAUGUAAGACAGAGAUGCACUAAAUAAGAGUUGUUAUUGAAUGUCUGAUCUUCCGGACAAUCACCUGUGGUUUUAGUAGCUGUGUUGUAAAUGCACUGACUCACUUUAGUUACUAAACUCUGCAAAUCCGAACCAGAACCAACCUGUCGAAAUUACUUCUCCUUUAUACAUGCAACCACAUACAUUCAUGCUGCAAAUAAAGGGAUAUGCAAACCUA